AUGGGUGGCAUGGCUAGUCCCCACCUUGUUCAUCAUAUCAUCCUCCGCAAGCUCAGGAUGAGUGUCAUGGCAAAUUCUCAGAGUGUUCACAGCACCAUCCUCCACAAGCUAUCUCUACUCCUCCUCAUUUGCUCGCUCCUCGGGUACAAUUGUGAAUCUAUGAGCAGGAAGGCUGAAAAGGCAGCACUUCUAAGCCUUGAGAAAUACUGGGGCAAACAGACGAAAAUCAAGUGGAGCUCCAUCAUGUACGCAGAUCAGUGUAAUUGGGAUGGAGUCAUUUGUAAUUUUGAUGGCUUUGUUACAGGAAUUUCAGUCGGAGGCUACAAGCUUGCCAAGUCAAUUCCUUCAGAAAUUUGCUCGUUCAAGAACCUUACAGACAUUGACCUUUCACACAACAACAUUCCAGGUUCUUUCCCUGUGGUUCUUUUCAGUUGCUCAAGCCUUGAACAACUGGACCUCUCUUACAAUUCUUUUGUUGGUAGUCUUCCAUUAAAUAUCCAUUUACUGUCAAAAUCGAUUACCUACCUUAACCUUGAAUCGAAUAGUUUAUCCGGUAGUAUUCCAAGUUCAAUCUACCAGCUUUCAUCCUUAGAAGUUCUGAAACUAUCUUUCAAUCCCUUUGAUUCACACAGAAUCGACCCACAGCUAGGAAAUUUGACAAACCUAGGAGAAUUGUCAAUGAGUUCUAUGAAUAUAGUUGGUGAAAUUCCAGACACUAUAACCAAGCUAACCCGACUUACAACCUUAGAUUUGUCUUCUAACACAUUGAAUGGGACAAUACCGACUGGGAUUUGGAGCAUGCAGAAUCUAGAGUUCCUUGAUCUACAGAGGAACUCUCUAUCUGGUUGCAUACUAGAUGAUCCCCAUGAGCUCAUGAAUCUGUCCCAACUUAAAACCUUAGAUUUGUCUUCUAACACACUGAAUGGGACAAUACCGACUGAGAUUUGGAGCAUGCAGAAUCUAGAGUUCCUAAAUCUACACAGGAACUCUCUAUCUGGUUGCAUACCAGAUGAUCCCCAUGAGCUCAUGAAUCUGUCCCCACUUAAAACCUUAGAUUUGUCUUCUAACACACUUAAUGGGACAAUACCUACUGUGAUUUGGAGAAUGCAGAAUCUGAAUCGCCUCGCUCUACACAAUAACUAUAUAUCCGGUCGCAUACUGGAUGAUUUCUGUAAGCUUAAGUAUCUGUCCCAACUUUUAUUGAACGACAAUCUUCUAUCCGGCCCACUACCAGAAAACGUUACACAGUUACAAUUAACCUCCAUCUUCCUCGAUUUCUCUAGUAACCAACUGACUGGCAAGAUUCCAUCUUCUUUCGAGUUGAGAAAAUUUGAAUGGAGCUUUCUUUCCAAUCCCGGCUUAUGUUCCUCCAACCACUUUGGAAACUUUCCUACGUGCACCAGAUUGCACUUGAAGAUGUUUGUAAUAAUUCUCCUGGUCUCUGGUUCAGCCAUUCUCAUAUGCACAGGGCUGAUUGGUUUAACUAAGAUCAAGGCAUUUUUCUCAAUGGAAAAGGAUGAUGCCCCAUCUCCACUGUGGAAGCUGACAGCCUUCCAAGCUAUUGAUUAUGACAUUGAGGACAUCCAUUGCAACCUCAUUGAUGCAAACCUUGUUGGCAGCGGUGGCUCAGGAAAUGUGUAUAAGAUCUGCCUUGACAACACAAACCGUGAGGUUAUAGCUGUCAAGCAAAUAUGGACCAGUGGCAGACGGGAACAUGAUAUGCUGGAAAAGCAGUUUCAAGCUGAAAUUGAGAUUCUUGGAUCCAUCCGACACACCAAUAUCGUGAAGUUGUGUGGCUACAUAUCCAGCUCCGAAUCAAAGCUCCUCAUAUACGAAUACAUGGAAAACGGUAGCUUGUAUGAAUGGCUGCAUCACAAAGAUGACCCUACUAGUACAACUGGACGGUUGUUGAACUGGCCGACAAGGAUGUCAAUAGCAAUCGAUGCCGCAAGAGGACUGUGUUACAUGCAUGACGGUUGCUCUCCCCCUAUAGCACACCGCGAUGUGAAAUCCAGCAACAUCCUGCUGGAUCCUCAGUUCAAAGCAAAGAUUGCGGACUUUGGCCUAGCUCGUGCACUGCUUAAAGCCGGUGAGCCAGAGUUAGUCUCGGCAGUGGUUGGGUCCUUUGGAUACAUAGCUCCAGAGUUUGGAAGCUCGAGAAAAAUGAAUGAGAAAGUUGAUGUGUACAGCUUUGGGGUGGUUCUCCUGGAGCUGACAACAGGGAGGCGUGCGAAUGGUGGCGGCGGGUACGAGAAUUUGGCGCAAUGGACGUGGAGGCAAUUUAAGGAUGAGGGCUUCCAUUUGACAAAUGUGAUCGACGCAGACAUAAGUGAUCCAGCCUACCUACGCGAGGUACAACUGGUGCUCCAGCUAGGGCUAAUUUGCACGGGCACGGAUCCAUCGUCAAGGCCGUCCAUGAAGCAGGUUCUGCAGGUCCUGCAACGCUGA
rnacentral:rRNA from 1 species